CGGGUCUUGCGCAAUGGCGCCUCACGAACCACGUCAGGUCCGGAAGGAAGCAGCGUUAAGAGAGAUACGGCAUGUGCCGCAAGG
rnacentral:SRP_RNA from 1 species